rnacentral:rRNA from 1 species
CCUACAGGCAGCAGUGGGGAAUAUUGGACAAUGGGCGAAAGCCUGAUCCAGCAAUGCCGCGUGAGUGAUGAAGGUCCUAGGGUUGUAAAGCUUUUUUACUUGGGAUGAUAAUGACAGUACUGGGAGAAUAAGCUCCGGCUAAUUCCGUGCCAGCAGCCGCGGUAAU